UCUUGUGUGUGCCAGGUCAAUGAGCCUAGCAUUUAUAUAGCCUAACCUUACGGUUCCAGUUUCCAAGAUGUCCACAUCACACUCUGUGGUUUAGAAAAUGAAAAUACUAAGAAGCAACAAACCAGAGAUCUAAGCAAAACCCACCACUGGCCUUUGAAUGACCAAUUGAAAGACUGAGCAAGGUGGUGUUCUUGGAGUCCAAGUGAACUGGGAUUUCAUCAGUGAGGAUUCUCUGUACUUUGGCAGCAUGUCUCUGAACUCUUACUCUGCAAACUCUGGAUCAUGUCUUCCCGUGCAAAUCCAAUGAGUCAACAGAGCAAAAUGCCACUGAAAUGGUUGUCUUCAAAGGAACUGCCUGCCAUGCAUCAUGGUGUGAUAGGCUACAUCUUUCUGACCCAGCUUAGUAAAGAGGUAAGGCAACAAACAUUCUUGGAGGCCUUAUCAGACACUGUUAUCUCUGUGCUAAGAGUAACAAAACUAAUUCAGGAAGAAACUUCAGUUCAAUAGUUAGGCUUUCUUGGGGUCUAGAGAAGCCCAACCUUCAAAGAAAAUGACCAUUCAGUAAUGCUUUCUCUAGGAAAGUAGAGGACUAUGGGAGAAAAUGUUUUAUAUGCUAUCAGACAGGGCAACUCUUGGUUCAUUUUGUCUGCCUGGUUUUCUUUAUUAUAAGAGAAAACCUUAAAAAGGAUGAAGGGGAAAGUAAAUCUAGAAAUGAUAAUGAUAUUUUAAAAAUACACAUUGAUACAAUUUAUUAAAAACAAACAAAAGAUCAUUAGGUCACUAAAAUAAAGUCUUUGGGGGCAGUAAUAAUGGGCUGACUUAGGAUGGGGUGGUUCAAGAGAGAAAUCAGGACAGGGCAAAGAGUUUGAGAAGUCUCUAGAGGGAACACUGAAGUCCAUGAAUGGACAUUGUGUUAACAAAGGAGGGAAAAUGCGCCACCACCCCCACCCCCUGCUCCUUGUACUACCAGCAGUGCCCCAUUGGAGCAUGGGGAGCACAGGGGAAAAUCAAAGGGGGGUUCUGAGAGGCAGGGGAGCAAGACAGACAGAGACAGGCCCUUUAUCUAGGCAGACAGUCAGGCUUCUGUUCCCAUGGCUUUUUGACAAAGAAAGGGAGACUUUUUCAGGAAACCAGAUAAUUGGGUGGGGGCCCCUCCAGGAUGAUCCAUAAUCAGAAAUCGCUUCAGGGAAAAGAGAGAGGAGGAAAAAAUCCAGGAAACAGGAAAAAAAAGAAAAAAGUAACAGUUUCAGAAAUCAAAUGCUUUGAAAGAACAAAAGGGACAGAAAAAUAGUCAAAUGGGGAAUGGCAGCAAACAUUGGCAAGCUGUUAGGGCAACUGAACUUUACCAAUACAAACACUGAUUUCAGCUGCAUUUUGACUGUUGUGUCCUAGAAGUAUGGGGCCACAGCUCUUGGCCACUGCCAGAACACUAUGAGUAUUCAAUGAACAUUAAGCAGAAUUUCACUGUGGAUUAUCGCUUAAAAAUAGCUUACUCCCAAAGAGACUUUUCAAAAAAAUCCUGUAUUGCUAAGAUUAGAAUUGACCUUAGGAUAAUUGGCAAGUAAUGACCAAAGACUUAGAAAAAUUCAUAGCAUAUAGUUAGUUCAUGCGAACAAUGUACAGCCCUGGUCUCAAGGUCUCCUUCAGGAACCCUCUCCCUUUCUCCCUACCCGCCAUCAUUAUUAGCCUGUUUCUUUCUUUCCUUUCUUCUGAAAGCCCGUUGCACAAAUGCUGUUUGUUCCCACUUCCAUGCCUUUGCAGAGAUCAUUCCCCACCAUUUGUUUAUUCCUACCUCCAUGCCUUAAUAUGGAUUAUUCCCCACAUUAUAAUGUCUUCAUCCUCUCUGGCAAUCUGCGGCCAUGAGCCUUUUCCAACACUAGCUUUUGGACAAAGCCAGUUUGACUAAGCUAUGAUUGAUAGCAGCUGAAGAUUAGUGAAAACGUGACAAAUCAAAGCAUUUUUAAUCAUUUAAAUCUUAUUCUAAACUGUGUAUUUCAACAUAAUGAAUUCUAGUAAAUGUUAUACUUGGCUGUUUUACUGUUAUUUUAUUUUGAGUGGAAAAAUAGCAUUCGCUUUUGCUUGGGAUAAUCCUGCUUAUGUGAAGCCUAGUCCUUCAUAUUAAGAAGCCAAUAGCUCAAGCAACACUGUUUA